rnacentral:rRNA from 1 species
GACGAACGCUGGCGGCGUGCUUAACACAUGCAAGUCGAACGGAAAGGCCUGCUUUCCCUUGUGGAUUGCGGGUACUCGAGUGGCGAACGGGUGAGUAACACGUGAGUGAUCUGCCCCCAACUUGGGUAUAAGCCUGGGAAACUGGGUCUAAUUCCCGAUAGGACUGCAGGGUGGUGCCGGUGGUGGAAAACGAUUUUCUAGUGGUUGGGGAUGAGCUCGCGGCUUAUCAGCUUGUUGGUGGGGUAAUGGACUACCAAGGCGGCGACCCGUAGCCGGCGUGUGAUCGUGGACGGUGGCACUGGGACUCGGUCACGGCUCCGACUCCUGCGAGCGGCAGCAGUUGUGACGAUUGCACCAAGGGCGGAAGCCUGCAGCAGCGACUCAGCGUGGGAGGUCUCCGCCUUCUGGUUCUAAGCUCCUUGCGACCGCGAGGAAGCUACCUGGUUGGGAGGGUCGUGACGGUAGUUGUAGAAGAAGCACCGGCUAACUACGUG